rnacentral:rRNA from 1 species
UACGUAGGUGGCGAGCGUUAUUCGGAUUCACUGGGCGUAAAGGGUCCGUAGGGGGUCUGCCAAGUCUGGUGUGAAAGCCCGCGGCUCAACUGCGGAACGGCACUGGAUACUGGCGGGCUGGAGUCUGCGAGGGGUGAGCGGAAUUCCUGGUGUAGCGGUGGAAUGCGUAGAUAUCAGGAAGAACACCGACGGCGAAGGCGGCUCACUGGCGCAGUACUGACCCUGAGGGACGAAAGCGUGGGGAGCAAACAGG